rnacentral:rRNA from 1 species
AUGAGGCGUCUCCUCCUUCAAUCCCCUUGCUCAAUAUCUCUCAUCUCCCUUCUUGUGCUCUCUCUUCAGGAAUCCACACCCAAUCCUCAUGAAAUCGAGUUCGUUUUUGUUGCCUUAUCUGUUCCCCGUGACAUUUUCCACCAUAUAUCCAUGAGAGGGGGUGAGCUGUUUGCAUUUUUUGCUUUUCUCUCUCAUAUCCUAGGCAGUACACCAUGGAUCGACGAGGUUGAGCACAAGCACAUGCUGCACACACACGCUCCCCUCCUUGGAGCUGCGAGCAAAGGGCCCGACGACUGGGCUGCAAGUUCGCGCACCCGCUACGUCACCAUGGUGCGCGACAACGGCGACUGGUUCCUGCUCACGCAGCGAUGCUGA